AUUGAACGCUGGCGGCAUGCCUAACACAUGCAAGUCGAGCGAGCGGCGGACGGGUGAGUAAUGUCUGGGAAACUGCCUGAUGGAGGGGGAUAACUACUGGAAACGGUAGCUAAUACCGCAUACCAUCAGAUGUGCCCAGAUGGGAUUAGCUAGUGGGUGGGGUAAUGGCUCACCUAGGCGACGAUCCCUAGCGGGUCUGAGAGGAUGACCAGCCGCACUGGGACUGAGACACGGUCCAGACUCCUACGGGAGGCAGCAGUGGGGAAUAUUGCACAAUGGGCGAAAGCCUGAUGCAGCAAUGCGGCGUGUGUGAAGAAGGCCGUCGGGUUGUAAAGCACUUUCAGCGGGGAGGCGGUACUCGCAGAGGAAGCACCGGCUAACUCCGUGCCAGCAGCCGCGGUAAUUC
rnacentral:rRNA from 1 species